CCUACGGGAGGCAGCAGUGGGGAAUAUUGGGCAAUGGGCGCAAUCCUGACCCAGCAACGCCGCGUGAAGGAAGAAGGCCCUCGGGUUGUAAACUUCUUUUAUUCGGGACGAAACACAUGACGGUACCGAAUGAAUAAGCCACGGCUAAAUACGUGCCAGCAGCCGCGGUAAUACGUAGGUGGAAAGCGUUAUCCGGCUUGACUGGGUGUAAAGGGCGUGUAGGCGGGAGAGAAAGUCAGACGUGAAAUUCCAGGGCUCAACCCUGGAACGGCGUUUGAAACUGUUCUUCUGGAGUGAUGGAGUGGCAGGCGGAAUGCCGGGUGUAGCGGUGAAAGGCGUAGAUAUACGGAGGAAAACCAGUGGCGAAGGCGGCCUGCUGGACAUUAACUGACGCUGAGGCGCGAAAGCGUGGGGAGCAAACAGGAUUAGAUACCCCGGUAGUC
rnacentral:rRNA from 1 species